UGAGGACUCCCACCAUGACCAAAGACAACUGGCGUCGUGUUCACGGGACCAGCGAUGGGAGGUGGAUGAAGCAACAGAAUGGGCCAUGGGCGGAGGAAUUGAGGAGGACAUUAUGUGCAUGGACGUGCAUGUCAAACUGAGCUCAUGCAGGGCAGACAGCAUGGCUGAAUUCCUUGACUUCAACUGUGAGUCAUCUGUUCGCACAUGAAUUCAGGACCUCCAUGAAGACAUCUGCAAUUACUACUGCCAACCAUGGUUUAUCACAUGAAGCUCUCUCUCUCUCUCUCUAGGUCGUCCUCAGACGAGCCUUCUAUCGUUGGGACUUCUCUAGGGUUGGCUUAAGGGUCCAGCAUUCACUGCCAUAAAGGGGAACGGACUCUACUGUCGCGUAGAAGAAGCUAAGUUUGAUUUGACGGGGGAGAUUGGAGUUCAACUUCUUUCAGCACAGUGCCUCCUGCUGUAGUAAGAGGUUGAUGUUCUGGUGGAAUGUUGUAGGUAAGCUGAUGGGCCUGAUAUGGAAUGUUGUGCAUGACAUGGCACAUUCCAAUGUCAAAGCGAUAAGAUGCGGAGUAUGACUGCCCAGAGAAGAGUAGACACAGAGAUAAAAUAGGAAGGAUAAAAAUGUAAAAUGCCUUAGAUCAGGGAUGGGCAACUGGAGGCCCGGGGGCCACAUGCGGCCCACCUCCUCACUCAGUGUGGCCUGAAGACAAAACAGUAAUUAACAAAAAAAAAGAGUAUUUUUUUAACCACUUAUGAAUUAAUCUGUUGUAUUUAUACUGUUGGCCAAUAUAGAACACUCCUAUUCCUUCUAAACAAUAUUGACAUUCAGUUAGCAGCCAACACUGUCCCACAAUCUCUCUCUCUCUUUUUUUUAAUUGCAGUCAAAUCCGUGGUCAUGUGGCCCUCCGAUGGUGGCUAUC